GCGGGCGUGGCGGAAUUGGCAGACGCGCUAGACUUAGGAUCUAGUGUCUACGACGUGGGAGUUCGAGUCUCUUCGCCCGCA
rnacentral:tRNA from 1 species